AGGCUCUUGCCAGUCUCAGGAUUUUUCUCGUGAAUGAACCAGGAAGGUCCAAGGUAGGGUGAGCAAGGCAAGCUAGCCAGGGAUAGGAGCAGGGCUAGUUUGUAGUGCAGGCUGCCCUGCUGAGGGGAGCAGCCUCAUAUGAGUCCAGGAGGCAGUCAGCAUGAUUCACCGAGCCUGUUGGAGGCUAGUGACUUGAGCUGGUGUUUCAUAAGGCUCUGCAUGGGCAGUUUUCCCUCCCGGAUUCCUCUCCAUGCAGCUGCAGACUGAGGAAAAUCAAAGCCACAGCUUCUGCUGGGAUUUGCAUGGGAAAGUUUCCCCCUUCCCUGGGAAUGUCCUUUCAGUUCUCUACACCCCGUGGCUUCGACUAUGUUCCACAAACACUGAGCCAACAGCUUGCCAGAACCCCAGGGUCAGCGCCUGUGGAACCUGUCACCCACCUGCAGCUGCAAGUCUUGGGAUAUGCGUGAGACCUCAGACAGCAGUCUGCCUGCUGGGUGGAGGUGGGGGGUCCAGGCCAGGAUGGGCUGACUGGCAAACAUUCCCAGACAUGUGGGCUUAAAGCCAUCCCUCACUGAUCCCUGCUAGCAGAUGAAUAUAUCGGAAGGUGAUGAGUACGAAGGAGCUUGGCUGCCAGCCAGGCGGUGUCGGAAAAGGAUGGGAAUUAUGUUGUUGUGAACCUAAAGCUGCUCCAGGAAAGUCUAUCGAAAAGUUAAAAACAUUUAAAUAAACAAAUAAAAGGAUGAGAAUGUUGAAAUGCUAAAAGAUCAGUGGUGUGUGGGAUUCUUCGAGCCCUGCA
rnacentral:lncRNA from 1 species